UAAUGAUGCUAAAAUUUCUCAUAGCAUCUGCAGUUACUGCCUAAUAGCUUUCGCCCUGCCAGGCUUGAGAGCUAGUGCUGUUAAAUCCUUCGUUGAAUGCAUA
rnacentral:snoRNA from 10 species